GCAUGAACACUCUUCAUCCUGAAUUUGAGUUACAUUUGAUGCUCUUCAUUGGUUAGUGUAGUCCUGAUGUACAAAGGUCGUGAUCAGAACCUCAAGUUUUUCUUUUCCUCCAAUUUUGCAAUACUUGUAAAUUAGAAAAUAGAAUUUUUAUUGAGAAUGGCUUGAUGACACAAAUUUUGCUGUUGCUUCCUGGUUUAAUCAUUGGAUACACAUUCUUUCUUGAAUAUUUUUAUUUAUAGUGUCUGUUUUCCUAUCAGACAUAAGCAAUUUACCAUCAAUUCACG
rnacentral:misc_RNA from 1 species